rnacentral:rRNA from 1 species
CCCUUAGAUGUUCUGGGCGGCCCGCGCACUACAUUGGCACUAGCAAAGAGAUCCUAGAUUGAAUUCUUUGGGGUAUUCUUCUAAAUGGUGUCGUGACUGGGAUAAAUCCUUGUAAUUAUUGGUUUUGAACGAGGAAUUCCUUGUAAUCGCGGUUUAUCAGCUCGCGUUGAAUGCGUCCCUGCCCUUUGUACACACCGCCCGUCGCUCCUACCGAUGGAUCGUCCGGUGAAGCUCACGGAGUGACUGUUCACGCAACGAUUUACGAAGUGAAAUGGACCUCACGAUUUAGAGGAAGGAGAAGUCGUAACA